GCGGUCGCCUCCCAAAAGGUAACGGAGGCGCUCAAAGGUUCUCUCAGUACGGUCGGAAAUCGUACGUAGAGUGUAAAGGCAAAAGAGAGCUUGAUUGCAAGACAUACAGGUCGAGCAAGGAUGAAAAUCGGACUUAGUGAUCCGGUGGUUCUGCGUGGAAGGGCCAUCGCUCAACGGAUAAAAGCUACCCUGGGGAUAACAGGCUUAUCUCCCCCAAGAGUCCACAUCGACGGGGAGGUUUGGCACCUCGAUGUCGGCUCAUCACAUCCUGGGGCUGUAGUAGGUCCCAAGGGUUGGG
rnacentral:rRNA from 1 species